rnacentral:rRNA from 1 species
UACGGAGGGGGCUAGCGUUGUUCGGAAUUACUGGGCGUAAAGCGCGCGUAGGCGGACCUGCAAGUCGGGGGUGAAAGCCCGAGGCUCAACCUCGGAACUGCCUUCGAUACUGCGGGUCUCGAGUCCGGGAGAGGUGAGUGGAAUUCCUGGUGUAGAGGUGAAAUUCGUAGAUAUUAGGAAGAACACCAGUGGCGAAGGCGGCUCACUGGCCCGGUACUGACGCUGAGGCGCGAAAGCGUGGGGAGCAAACAGG